CCUGUACCAAAGAAAUUAAUUCAUCAAGAAUUUUAUCACAAUCUAUUAACGAACCUGAGUUUGGUUGGGCAUAUUGUAUAUGAGGUUGUGGUGGCUGCGCAGGUCUUGAAUAGAACUCCUCAUAUGGCUGCCAAUAUCCUUUGUGUUGAAGUUGUUGAGAUUCCCACCACAUAGAGUUUGAAUGAUCACUCUAAUCUGAAUUGUACAUGUUAGAAAACAAAUUGUUCACUGAUUGAUUAUGAUUUUGAUAACCCAAGGUAUUGACAUUCCCCCAACCUCUUUGUGGACGUUGAUUUGCUUGAUAUUUUUGCCUAUAAGAGGCACCAAAUGUAGGGACACUUUGCCUUGUGGUCCUUUCGAUAUAUUGCAUUAACUAAGAACUAAGAUUCGUUAUUUGAGCUUGAAGAUUAGCAAUUGCCAUGUCUUACUUCUCUAGUACCUAAAAUCAAAGAAAGAAAACUAAAUCAAAUAUCAAAAGUAAAAUAAGCAGAACAGGGUGAUUAGCAAUUUUGCUAAUCCCUAACAGCAGCGCCAAAAUUUGAUGUGAAAUUUAACUAACACACAAAUUAAACCCUAUUAAACAUGUAAUUGUAGUAUUAAGCAAGUAGGGAAUGUUCUAGACCGGGGAUUAACUAGGGAUGCUAAUCAACACAAAUAAGACUCAAAAACACUAAAUUAGACUCUUUAGACUCAAAACUGACUCAAAACACUCAAAACAGCAACAAACAAUAGAAAAGACUCAAUUCUAGACCUAACAAGUGAUUUUGACGAAAAUAAACUUAACUUCACUCAAAGGAUUAAAAGAAAACAGAUUAUGACUCAACUAACAAGACUUAAUGAAUGGGGGAUUGUUUUUGAUGAAUUUAAAACUUAAAACAGAAACUUUGCAUAAAACACUUUAUAAAAACGAAUUUGGUGAAUUGGAAAAGGGUGAAAGGCUAGUUAGAGGGUCCCACAUGACAUAUGUAUACAAACCAAUUUCCAGUUAUUAUUCCUUUAAACUAUGAAUGACAACACCCCAAGUUAACCAUGAUAGCACAAAUUAACCAUCAGAUUUUCCUUAACUCAUUGAAUUUGAUGGAAUACGCAUCGCAACCAAAUUAUUCUUAUCAAGUUCCCUAACUAUGAAAAGCAUAAUAGAAAGACAUAUCAAAGGUCAUUAAGUUCUUUGAAAACCAUAAGCAUUGACGAAGCAUUCGUAACUAUGAAAAGCAUGAUACUCCUACCAGGAAUUUACUUAACACAAUCAUGACUAGUGACUUCCACUACUUGUGAAUAUAAGUUCAUAACGAUUAGGUGAAACUCCCUUAUACUCUAGCAUCAAAUUCAUGCAUGCAAAUUAAGUGUGAACCCUCAAUCUAUAGACAUAAAUAAGUUUCGAUAACUCAGAUAAGCAAAUCACAUUCAAGAUUAAGAAACAAUAACUGAAUGUAAUCAAUUCACAUAAAACAUAUAAUCAUGGCUUCAAAUUCACCUCCAAUUAUAAAGAAAUUAGUUCCUCAUGUUCGCAAUUAAGCAAAGACAAUUAAAUUUAAACAUUGAAAACAAAGAUAGAAUACACCUAGAAACGCUCCAACAAUCCAACGUCUUGAAUGGCAAGUAAAGUGAAAAUUAACUUGACGCACAAAUUAAACCCUAUUGAUGACAAUUGUAGUAAAGAUGUAAGUAGGGAUCGUUCUAGACCGAGGAUUAACUAGGGAUGCUAAUCAACACAAAUAAGACUCAAAAACACUAAACUAGACCCUAAAACAGAAAGCUAGACUCUAAAACAGAAAACUAGACUCUUAUGACUCAAAACUGACUCAAAACACUCGAAACAGCAACAAACAAUCAAAAAGACUCAAUUCUAGACCUAACAAGUGAUUUUGACAAAAACAAGACUUAACUUGACACAAAAGACUAAAAGAAAACAGAUUAUGACUCAACUAACAAGACUUAAUGAAAGGGGGAAUGUUUUUGACGAAUUUAAAACUUAAAACAUAAACUUUGCAUAAAACACUUUAAGAAAACGAAUUUGAUGAAUUGAUAAAGGUGAAAGGCUAGUUAGAAGGUCCUUCUCCACACAUGACAUAUGCAAACAAACCAAUUUCCAAUAUUGUUCCUUUAAACCAUGAAUGACAACACCCCAAGUUAACCGUUACAGCACAAAUUAACCAUCAGAUUUUCCUUAACUCAUUGAAUUGGACGAGAUACGCAUCACAACCAAAUUAUCCUUCUCAAGUUCCGUAACUAUGAAAAACAUGAUAGAAAAACAUAUCAAAGGUCAUUAAGUUCUUUGAAAACCAUAAGCAUUAACAAGGCAUUCGCAACUAUGAAAAGCAUGAUACUCCUGCCAAGGAUUCACUUAACACAAUCAUGACUAGUGACUUCCACUACUUGUGAAUAUUAGUUCAUAACGAUUAGGUGAAACUCCCUUAUACUCUAGCGUCAAGUUUAUGCAUGCAAACUAAGUAUACAUCCUCAAUCAACAUACAUGAACAAGUUUUGAUAACUUAGAUAACCAAAUCACAUUCAAGACUCAAGAAACAAUAACUGGAUGUAAUCAAUUCAUAUAAAGCAUAUAAUCAUGGCUUCGAAUUCACCUCUAACUAAAAAGUAAUUAGUUCCUCAUGUUCACAAUUAAACAAGGACAAUUAAAUUUAAACAUUGAAAACAAAGAUAGAAUACACCUAGAAACACUCCAACAAUCCAUCAUCUUGAAUGGCAAGCACAGCUCCAAGUGGCUCCUUCUUCUCAUUCCUUGCACAGCUGCGGCACUAAAGGGAUGUAUGGCAUAAAUUUGUGGUGAAUGGUGUAGAAAAAUAUGGUAGAGAAUGGUGAUUUGAAUGAAAGUUGCAGUACUUGUAUUUAUAGGGAGAAAAGGCACGGCCUAAGUAGCAUUGGAGAAGGAUUGGCACUCCAAAACCCAAGUGGAAUGGGUUAAAACAAUCAGAAACCAAGGGGAAUUAGGUUUACAGGUUCUAGAGCUUCUAGAAUAGGGGGAGGCGCCAAAUUUGUAGGGACUUCUAGAAAGAGUGCUAUGUGGCUGAUUUCUAGAAGAAUAAGGCCUAAAAUAUGCGGCACCAUUGUAAGAAUAGAUAAGGCUUACUGAAUCAUAGGGAAAAAGGAUUAGGAAAUUCAGCCAAAGCUUUUAGAAUGGAAUAUCUUGUAGAUUUCUAGAUGAAAAGCAAUAAAAGGUGCUACACCAAUCUAGGGCAAGUGAUAAGGCUUCUACAAAGAGGCAUUUAGGUAAUUUAAUGUGUAAUUGAUCCCCCCUUGCAGCUGGAAUUAAGGUAUGAUAAGAUUAGGAUAUGAUAAGAUAAGAUAAGGUUAGUUUGGAUAAGAUAAGGUUGGAUAAUGUUUGGCCCUUUUAGCUGAUUCCUUAUCUUCUUUGUCUUGAAUUUAUUUUCUUCAUCUCCUUAGCAUAUUCCUAGCCUUUUGAACUUCAAAAAUGUCCAUCCAAAGUGCUCCCCAUGCAUGCUAUGAAGGGAAAUAAUGAGAUUUAUGUGGGAUUUCUAGUGACUAGCAUGCAUAUACAAUUCAAAAUUUAUAUACAUUAGCAACAGAAGCAUGUUAUCACAUAAUAUCAAAGCUAUAGUCAUGCAAAUCCCCUUCAAGAAGCAUAGGUUCAUAUAUGAUGCAUCUAAGAAAUUAUUGAAGAACAAAGUGAAGGUAUAGUUUUAUACCUUUUGAUCUAGACUUGAGACCAAGGAUGGACCACCUCCAAGCUCUUUGUUCUUGGAACUCCUUGAGCCUAGCCUCCCUCCUUUCUUCCUCCACCUUGCUAGAAUGAGUGCUCCUUGGUUCUCCUUUAGUCUCCAAGGUUGAAGACCUCUAAAGAUCCACACCCACUAGUGUAGUGAGAUGGAAGGAGGAAUAACCAAAAGGGAGAGAAGAUGAUUAGCUACUUCUCCCUUAUGGUGGCCGGCCUUGUGUGUGUUUUGGAGAGAGAUGUUUUCUUCUUUUGUGAAAAAUGAACACACAAAACCCUAAUGAAACUUUUCACUAAAAGUUCCUUUUAUAUCUCAAAGAUAGUUAGCCAACAACUUGACUUCCUCUCUCUCCCUUUCCCUUUAUUUGGCCGGCCCAUUUAGUGUUGUUUGGGCUUUGGGCUUUUAUUAUUUCAAGUCAUCCUAUGCUUAAAUAAAAGCCCAAUGGAUUUGGGCUUAAUGGGCCCAUAUUAACCCGAACUUUUCUUUAAGUCCAAAAAUGAUCUUUCAUCGCUUCUAUGAUUUCUUUAAACUUUCUAAUUAAUCAUAACACUUAAUUAAUCCAAUUAAUUUAUUCCAUCAUCCAUUAGUUGUCUCAUUACAAGAAUGUAUCGGUGUACAAUCAUUUUAGGUUCUAAUUAGCAAGGUAGUGAGGUGAUUGGCACCAAUCCAAUUGAUUAUAUUUAAUCCAAUCACUUAGUGAAUUAAAACUUACUUGUAAUUCUCCUUCUUCUUUGACGACUACUUAUUUAAUCAUCUAGAAGAACUCACAAGCCAUGAGUGACAUCUAACCAUAUAUCAUAGCUACCCAAGCUAAUGUAGAAUUUGUUCGGAGAACCUAUUCAGUUGGAAUUACAAUGUAAUUCGAUCCUUCUCUAAAACAAUACUCUCAAUCACAUUAUUAGGGUAUGGAUAUAUUAUGUCAAACCCCUAAUGUGAUUAUUCCAUGUUAUAUGAUUCAACUAAGUCGUAUAGGAACGCUUUCCUUUAUUAUGCUCAAUACUUCGGCCGAAGAUUCCCGAAUCAUAUCUUAGAGUAUUCAUCCUCUCAUAACGAGGAUUAAAGAUCCCUUGUUAAUCAUUCACAUGCCUCUGAGAAUAAAUCACUGACCCCAACAAUGCAUAGAACACACCUAAGAUGAGGUGUGGUCAUAUCUCAUUAUCAAAAUGAUCAGCAACGUAUCCCCAAGACAACUAUGAUGUCUCGGGUCAAAGGAUUACUUA
rnacentral:lncRNA from 1 species